CCUACGGGUGACAGCAGUGAGGAAUAGUGGUCAAUGGGCGCGAGCCUGAACCAGCCAAGUAGCGUGAAGGAUGACUGCCCUACGGGGUGUAAACUUCUUUUAUAAAGGAAUAAAGUGAGGCACGUGUGCCUUUUUGUAUGUACUUUAUGAAUAAGGAUCGGCUAACUCCGUGCCAGCAGCCGCGGUAAUACGGAGGAUCCGAGCGUUAUCCGGAUUUAUUGGGUUUAAAGGGAGCGUAGAUGGUUUGUUAAGUCAGUUGUGAAAGUUUGCGGCUCAACCGUAAAAUUGCCAUUGAUACUGGCAGUCUUGAGUACAGUUGCGGUCGUCCGCUUUCGUGGUGUCGCGG
rnacentral:rRNA from 1 species